rnacentral:rRNA from 1 species
CAGAAACUUAAAUGAAUUGACGGGGCCCGCACAAGCGGAGGAGCAUGUGGUUAAUUCGAUGAUACGCGAGGAACUUACCUGGGCUCGAACGUAAGAUGACUGUAGGUGAAAGCUUACAUCUCUUCGGAGCAUUUUACGAGGUGCUGCAUGGUUGUCGUCAGCUCGUGCCGUGAGGUGUCGGGUUAAGUCCCAUAACGAGCGCAACCCCUACCUUUAGUUGCCAUCAGGUUAAGCUGGGGACUCUAAAGGAACUGCCUACGCAAGUAGUGAGGAAGGCGGGGAUGACGUCAAAUCAGCACGGCCCUUACGUCCAGGGCUACACACGUGCUACAAUGGCCGAUACAGAGGGCAGCUACCUGGUGACAGGAUGCAAAUCUCCAAAGUCGGUCUCAGUUCGGAUCGGAGUCUGCAACCCGACUCCGUGAAGUUGGAUUCGCUAGUAAUCGCGCAUCAGCCAUGGCGCGGUGAAUACGUUCCCGGGCCUU